UCCUUUUUUAUUCCUUGGUUCGGUCUACAAGGUAUUGGAUCUGGGCUAACAUUUUGGGGCAAUAAGAUGUCUAAAAUAUCUGGGCUAAUGGCCAUAUUCUUUGUGGCUUGAACCACAUGAAUGCUUCACUUCCAUUAUCCAACCACUUCUUGCCAAUUGUCGAAAUUCCACAAGGCCAUAACCCCUUCAAAAGUUCGGAGCACAAAAGUGACUUCUAACAUCCCAACAGCAUCACAUUCCAAAGCUGCAAAAAUUUGCUCCUGUUCUGUUCUGUUCUGUUGCUGCAACAUCUAGAGAAUGAACACUGCAAAAAGAGCUGCUCAGCUUCUCUCAACUCAGAACAUUAGGUCCUUCUUAGACUCUGCUGAGGCCUUUCUCUUUGAUUUGAUGGUGUGAUUUGGAAAGGAGACAAACUCAUUGAUGGGGUCUCUCAAACAAUGGACUUCCUUCGUUCUAAGGGAAAAAAAACACUUGUUUUUGUGAUAAAUAAUUCAUUAAAUUCAAGAAUGCAAUGUGCCAAGAAGUUCCAUUCACUUUGGAUUUCGGUUGAUGAGGCCUUUAUCACUUGUCAACCUCCACUGUCUUACAGCGUAACACUAAUUUUUGAAAUCGAGUAGAGACUUCAUGUUAGAUCACAGCUCAGUGGUCUUUUAAACACCAGUUUCAUCAUUCAAGUGCCUUCUACCUAUUGUCUCAAACAGUGAGGUUCCUUAAAAAUGGUGACAUAGUUUUUGCACCAUCUAUAAAAUCUUGAAGGCAGCGUCCAGUUGGAAGGAGGCUUACCUUUUCUCCUCGUAGAUGCUUCACUUACAACACUUUUGUCCUGUACAAUGAUCUAUCCAUUUCCACUGCAGCUGUUCAUCUUCUUUUACAACAUGGAAGCAUUAGCUAUCUUGUCUUUGCUUUUACCUGUAUCUUACAUUUGGUCUUAAAGGGAGCGGACGUUUUCUACCAUGUUUUUUAUUUAACAAUAACAACAAUUUACCAUACGCUCUUGUUUUACACAAUAUUGUGGCACC